rnacentral:rRNA from 1 species
UGUACCGUAACUUCGGGAGAAGGUACGCUGUUGAUGGUGAAGGAUUUACUCCGUAAGCUAUCGGCAGCCUCAGAAACUAGGCCGCUGCAACUGUUUAUUAAAAACACAGCACUCUGCAAACACGAAAGUGGACGUAUAGGGUGUGAUGCCUGCCCGGUGCUGGAAGGUUAAUUGAUGGGGUUAGCGAAAGCGAAGCUCUUGAUCGAAGCCCCAGUAAACGGCGGCCGUAACGAUAACGGUCCUAAGGUAGCGAAAUUCCUUGUCAGGUAAGCUCCGACCUGCACGAAUGGCAUAAUGAUGGCGGCGCUGUCUCCACCAGAGACUCAGUGAAAUCGAAAUCGCGGUGAAGAUGCCGUGUACCCGCGGCUAGACGGAAAGACCCCGUGAACCUUUACUGCAGCUUUGCACUGAACUUUGACCUUACUUGUGUAGGAUAGGUGGGAGGCUUUGAAGCUCGGACGCUAGUUCGAGUGGAGCCAUCCUUGAAAUACCACCCUGGUAAUGUCGAGGUUCUAACCCAGAUCCGUUAUCCGGAUCGGGGACAGUGUAUGGUGGGUAGUUUGACUGGGGCGGUCUCCUCCUAAAGAGUAACGGAGGAGUACGAAGGUGCGCUCAGCGUGGUCGGAAAUCACGCAAUGAGUAUAAAGGCAAAAGCGCGCUUAACUGCGAGACCGACAAGUCGAGCAGAUACGAAAGUAGGUCUUAGUGAUCCGGUGGUUCUGUAUGGAAGGGCCAUCGCUCAACGGAUAAAAGGUACUCUGGGGAUAACAGGCUGAUACCGCCCAUGAGUUCAUAUCGACGGCGGUGUUUGGCACCUCGAUGUCGGCUCAUCUCAUCCUGGGGCUGAAGCAGGUCCCAAGGGUAUGGCUGUUCGCCAUUUAAAGAGGUACGCGAGCUGGGUUUAGAACGUCGUGAGACAGUUCGGUCCCUAUCUACCGUGGGCGUUGGAGACUUGAGAGGAUCUGCUUCUAGUACGAGAGGACCGAAGUGGACGUACCUCUGGUGUUCGGGUUGUCACGCCAGUGGCACUGCCCGGUAGCUAUGUACGGACGGGAUAACCGCUGAAAGCAUCUAAGCGGGAAGCCCACCUUAAGAUAAGGUCUCCCUGGGGGUUUAACCCCCCUAAAGAGCCGUUAGAGACCAUGACGUUGAUAGGUUCGGUGUGGAAGUGCGGUGACGCAUGAAGCUAACGAAUACUAAUUGCUCGUGAGGCUUGACC